rnacentral:rRNA from 1 species
CCUACGGGAGGCAGCAGUGAGGAAUAUUGGUCAAUGGGCGCGAGCCUGAACCAGCCAAGUCGCGUGAGGGAAGACGGCCCUACGGGUUGUAAACCUCUUUUGCCGGGGAGCAACGGGCGCCACGUGUGGCGCUACUGAGAGUACCCGGAGAAAAAGCAUCCGCCAACUCCGUCCCAGCAGCCGCGGUAAUACGGAGGAUGCGAGCGUUAUCGGGAUUUAUUGGGUUUACAGGGUGCGUAGGCGGAGCGUUAAGUCAGUGGUCAAAUGGAGAGGCUAAACCCCUUCCCGCCAUUGAAACUGGCGCUCUUGAGUGGAAGAGAAGUAUGCGGAAUGCGUGGUGUAGCGGUGAAAUGCAUAGAUAUCACGCAGAACCCCGAUUGCGAAGGCAGCAUGCCGGCUUCCGACUGACGCUGAGGCACGAAAGCGUGGGGAUCGAACAGGAUUAGAUACCCCAGUAGUC